UAAGUACCCCCUCCGCCCGAAAAUACUUGUUGGAGAAAUGAAUAAAAUGGAUGUAUCUAGAACUAAAAUACGUUUAGAUACAUCACAUCCAUUUUUCCAACAAGCAUUUUCGGACAGAGGGAGUAGUAU
rfam:Triticum aestivum genome assembly, contig: Triticum_aestivum_CS42_TGACv1_scaffold_222190_3B